UACGUAGGGCGCAAGCGUUGUCCGGAAUUAUUGGGCGUAAAGAGCUCGUAGGCGGUUUGUCGCGUCUGCUGUGAAAACCUAAGGCUCAACCUUGGGCUUGCAGUGGGUACGGGCAGACUAGAGUGCGGUAGGGGUGACUGGAAUUCCUGGUGUAGCGGUGGAAUGCGCAGAUAUCAGGAGGAACACCGAUGGCGAAGGCAGGUCACUGGGCCGCAACUGACGCUGAGGAGCGAAAGCGU
rnacentral:rRNA from 1 species